rnacentral:misc_RNA from 1 species
UUAAUUUUAGCUGUGUUAGAGCCUAGAAUUAGUGGUGGUAAGGUAGAUUUGCAGAUUAGAAAACUUAAAUCUCCUCGGUUUCACAGGGUGAAAGAUGCAAGGUUUUCUAAUGGUUUGUGGAUUUUUUGAAAGCAAAAUUGAGAUGUGGCUACUGUUGAAAGAUUGUAUAGUUUGUUCAUAUGUUAGUUUUGGAAUCCGCUAGCAUGUUAAUGGAUUUCACUACGGUUUAUCAUCAUCCUGCACUAAAUAGACGGGCUUCCUUCUAGAACGGUCUUGAUCAAUUACGAGCUAGUAUUUUAGCUUCUUGGGUUUCUGCCAGUGUUUUCAAUGCUUUGCUUAGUCCUGCAGAGUGAAGAGGUGGUUCCCUUUGCCACUUAGAGUUUGUAAAAUUUAUUUAUCUUGGUUUCAUUGGUCUGGUGCUAUUGAUAAGGAAUUUCAACAUCCUUAAUUUACCUGUUCUUGGGGUAUGUUGCAUGAAAGGUUGUAUAAGGCUAAAUGUGAUUCAAACUGGACGUUGAACUUCUCGGAGGCUUCUAUUCGCCACCUUCUACAUCUUUAGUCAAUUCAUAGGCCUUUACUACUAGUGUUGAAUAGCUUUAUUGCUCCUGCAGACAAAGUAUGCCCAUUUUCGGUUUUAGAAAGCUUGGCUAACUUGUGUUGGUUUUAAUCAGUUUGUGUCAAACUCUUGGUGCAGUAAUCAUUCUUUCAUGUCUAUUGUCUCUGGCUUCUUAGAUAAAUUGCAAG